rnacentral:rRNA from 1 species
AGGACGAACGCUGGCGGCGUGCUCAUACAUGCAAGUCAAACGAGAAUCUGACUUCGGUCAGAGGAAAGUGGCGGACGGGUGAGUAAAAUGUAGAGAAUCUGCCCUUAAGCGGGGGACAACAGUUGGAAACGACUGCUAAUACCCCAUAUGCGCGUAGCUGAGAUGCUAUUCGUGAAAACUCCGGUGCUUAAGGAUGAGUCUGCAUCUGAUUAGCUAGUAGGCGGUGUAAUGGACCACCUAGGCGACGAUCAGUAGCUGGUUUGAGAGGAUGAUCAGCCACAAUGGGACUGAGACACGGCCCAUACUCCUACGGGAGGCAGCAGUAGGGAAUUUUGCGCAAUGGGGGAAACCCUGACGCCAGCAACGCCGCGUGAUUGAAGAAGCCCUUCGGGGUGUAAAGAUCUGUCAGUGGGGACGAAACUUGACGGUACCCACAGAGGAAGCAUCGGCUAACUCCGUGCCAGCCGCGGC